UCUUUAGGUUUCUUGAAGGCAUUUCAGUUCUCAUCCGAGAAGCUUCUUCAGUUCAAACUGUGGAGAUUACAGUUGUUGUAUCAAGCAAACUGUCACGGCUGCUAUACCCUCUGCAAAUGUGUAGUUGGGUUAAUGGGAUCGUACUUCAGAAUCAGUUUUAGUUACAAGGAAGUUAUUUCUUAGCACAUAAACAGUGUGGAGAUGACUUUAAGGACAUUAAAAAGAUGGCGUAGAAAGCCUCAUCUGGUCAGACGGAAAACUGCUGAAGAAAUUCCAACUGUAUUCUCAAAAUGAUCAAUGAUAUAUAUUCUUAAUAUAUUACUAUUGCUCCUUCAUACUUUUCCACCUGUUACCAACAUUAACAGAAAAAAACAAAGUUUAUAUGAAUGACUCGUGUAAACUCAUAUUUAAUGACUUGAAAAAAUAUAUAUAUUAAGAUUUCGCAAUAAUGGUAAUUAUUCAGUAGAAAAUAAGCACGACGUGGUGCCAAUUUAUCUUCCAAAAUUACUCCAGUGCAAUGAGUUGACAGUAAAACAGGUAUUAUUUAUAUACUUUUCAUUUCAUUGUUAGAGAAUAAGGUGAAUAUGCACUGCAUAUUGCCUUUGCACAACCAAAGUUUAAAGUAUUUCGGACUACAGUCAAACACCCUAUUUUUUAGAGAGAUUAACAACAGAGCUAAAGAAUGUCUUACUGCUUUCUACCAAGCAUCUUAGUCCUUUAAAUGUAAAGAAUGCAACAAAACCCAUUUGUAUGCAUGGACCUGUCUUUCCAUGAUCCAAACCAAAAGUGAAAGUAAUGUGAACACUCAUUGUGCCAAAGUAACACACACUUUGAAUUAAUUUUCACAUUGGCAACCUGUGCAAUGCAAUAAUUUUGAAGCAUUAUCAAUGAAAGCUAACUCCAUGUUUAAGUGAAAUGAAAUGAGAUUAACAAGGCCAUCUGUUUUUUUAUGGUAAUAGCAGAAAAUGAAAAACAUAAACACAGCACAAGUUUUUUAAAGUGUUCAAACUUGCAUGGACAGGGACAAGCAGAGUUCAGUUACACAGGUAGUGCUAUGGCUCACUGUUCAUUCACUGUUUAUUAACUGGUUCUUAAACAAAGAGAUGUUAUCUUAAACUCGAAAUUUCUGACUAUUGCAGUGCAUUGAAAAACAAAACAGCCAAAAAAAUGAAAUGGUAAAUGCAGAAAGUCUUAUAAAAGACCUGAAAACUUCAGUGCCAUUGUCUCACAGUAACAAAGCGAAAACACUGAUAUUUGUUUUCUUUUUUUUUUAUUCUGUUUUUUUUUCUUCUCAAGAGACAGACACGGUUUUGAGUUUAGUUAAACAUUAUGUGGUCGAACCAGUUGAGCUGCUGUGCAAGGUGUGUGCCAUUGUGUUCCUCCUUGAAUAAUCCUCACUCAACGGACUGCAUUAGUGUGGAUGAAAGACAUGCAAGUAGGUGUUAAACUCGUUUAUCUAGGCACAAUUUACCAGAAACAGCAACACAAGGAAUUUUUGACAAAGGCACAGAGAACACAUUAUCAAGUGCUGUCCAAAAAACAAAACAAAAAAAACCCCAAAUAGGAACUGUUAACUGUUAAAGCACCACUCUGUGUACUGUUUAAGAAUACUUUAGUCUUAUAAAGGUUGAACCUUGUUCUGAUUUUAAAAAAAACAACAGAAAAAAAACUCCUUGUGGACUUUGAACUUUGUGGUUUGUGUUGGUUACACUGUAGUCAAGAAUUCGAAGCAGGAAGUUUUAGGAUUAUGCGCAUUGCUGAGACUCUGUUGCAGACAGGAACAGAAAGAGAGAGAGGCAGGGAGAGAGAGGGAGGGACUUGUCCUGAAUCAGUACAAUGACGUGCUGUGCGGUGCAAUUUUCACAUGACUCAAGCACUUGUGGGUUACUUUGGUAAGGUGUGGAGCUGAACACCCAGUGGAAAUGCACACUUUGGAGUGGAUUACAACACGAGGUUUUAAAGAAAAGAAAUAUGCGUAGAAGAAUGCUGUAGGACUGCUGCAGAUACCUAAAGAAGAAUGUUGGCUCUUGGAUGGUCUUUCUGGUGUAUUUUACUGAGUCUACACAUGCCAGCUCAUGGCUUGGAGAUUUUUGAACUUGACAGCCAUGAAGUCAUUUGCUCACAGGGUCUCUCUAAAUGCAAGAUGAAAGAUGAGAUGCCUGUUAAUCCCAGCAAAAACACUGUGGAUGUUCGGACACUAAAACCAGAUUUUAAGCUCUGCUGUACGAACAAGACAGCAUGUGCAUUAUGUUUGGUGAUAGACAUAGAGUUUAACAUCGAUCCAGAUGAAGACAUGGAAGACCAAGGCUCCUCUGGGUCAGAAAUGGAAGAAUACAGAGAAGACAAGAUCACUUCAAAAGGGUCAUUGACAGUAUGUUAUUGCACAGAAGCGUCCAUGCCAAAGUGCAAGAAGGUGGUGUUUACAGUUAAUCAUGAAGCUCUUACUCAACAAAACCAGCUAAAGAUCUCAGUGGUGAUUACUCAGUCAGAUGGCUUUCCCUUUGAAAUCUCCCUGAUUGUCCGUAGCUCAAGUAUCACUGAAAGGGUUGCUGCUCCUUCUUUUAAUGAAGUGUGCUCCCAGGAACUGCAGAAAACUUUACCAGAGUGUCAAGUGCCCAAAUUCACAUUUGCAGUAAACUCAAAGAUGAAUCAAGUGGAGCUGCAGCUUGAAGACGGGAAUAAGAUCCCCCCCUCGAUGUGCAUCCAGUACGAGCAGAAGGGAAGGUGUCAGAGUUGGAACAGGAUGACCAUACCACUGUACUCCGUAACCCGCUGCAUGUGUCUCCAGCUGUGGUACGAGGAUGGACAAAGGUCUACACGGUCACUACAAUGCCCCUUCAAUAAAUCUGAUUCUCUGAAUGAAUCACAAAAGAACAUAUGGGAAAAUAUCACCGUGUCAAAGCCCCAUGUACAAAUGACCAGCUUUGGAGAAAUGUUAUCCUGGAACGUGUCUGCGCCUUGCAGGCUGGAUGGUAAAGUGUGGCUGCUUAAGAAACACAGUCGAAGCAGGAGUGCCUUCAGCCAACAGCUGGAAAAUGGCACUGCAUGGAAACAAAACAUCAAGGGACUCUGGGUGAACACAUUUGUGUUUGAAAAUGUACCCGUCCGGCCCUUGCCGUGUUUGAUGAUGAGAGUAAAGGGAAUGGAACAUGACCUAGGUCCAUUUUGUUUUGAUGACAAUGUUGCAGCUGGCAGGUGGCGCUGGAGUCUCCUAGCCACUGCUGUUAUACUCCUGGUUUUCAUUACUGUGCUCAUGUUAUGGUCCUUUCAUAAAUCUAUCAAGGGAUGGGUGUGGAGCUGGCAACACGGUGGGAUAGUAAAAAUUGGUAAGACGCGUCAUGUUGUCCUGCUGAGCCCCCCAGACGUGGAUGAUGCCACUUCUAAGUUGGUGUGUCAGAUCGGGUCCACCCUCAGCGACAAGGGCUUCAGUGUGUCUGUCGACCAGUGGAGCAGGAGGGAGCAGUGUAAUUGGGGGCCUCUGCCAUGGCUGCAUUCACAGCUGCUGGAGCUUAAUAGCCUGGGUGGCCGAGUUCUGCUGGUUCUGACACGUAGAGCCUUGGAGAGAACCGAAGAAUGGAUGCACUGGAACAAAGAUAUUAUCAACGAAAGCAUGGGGAACAAAGAAAAUGAUCUACCAAAGCUGUGGUCACCUUAUUCUGAUUUGUUCACAGCCUCCCUGUUCCUCAUUCAAGCUGAAAAGCUCCUUGAUAGGGCUGGUAAACGUUUCGUUCUGGUGAAAUUUGAUUCCCACCCAAGAGAGACUCACACCAGAGACAGGCGUUUACCAGAGCUUCUUCAGGGGCUGCCUCUGUUUAGUCUUCCCUCUCAGACUCAGUCUCUCCUAGCUGAGCUAACUGUGACAAAGACAGAGAGAGGAUCAUAUGGAGGAAGGUAAAAGUGAGGUACUCCAAUGGCUAAAAAGGGACCAAGACCAGCAAGAAGGCAUCAUCGUGUAAAUCUUUUAAGUCACCCAAAUGUACUUUAAUAAGCUGUAUUGCUUUAGUGUGUACAUGAAGAAUAUGUUCAUCAGAGUUGGCUGCCAUGAAGAUGAUAUGCUAAUGAAGAAUAAGACUCCUGACUCAGUGAUACAAAUACAGUCAACAAAUUCCAUACAGAGACCAAAACCAAUAAUCUGUUGUUCUAAAUCUCCACAUACCUUCAAGCCUUGUUUUAAAAAAAAAAAUCUGCUUAAGCAGAAGCAGCUGCUGUACCAGGACAGUGUAUACAAACUGACAGUAUAAAGAACGGUUAUAGUCGUCAAAGCUGCAAAACUGUCACUCCUACAGACUAAAAAUAACCGUGCACGGUAAGUCUGUCCACACCUGCCUAUAAAUAUAUUUGCCUCUGUUUUUGUUUUUUGUUUUUUUGUUUGGUUUAAACGCUAAAACACAUCGAGUUGUGAUUGGUCUUUGGAAGGACAGCGGCUUUUAUUGGGCCAGUGUAAGGACUUACUGAAGUACUUGUUAUAAGUAUUACCACGUUCCGUAAGAGCGGUGCCUUGGGACGAAUAUGUGCUCCGCCCGCGCGGGAGGUGUGGGUUAUUCUUUGCAAUCGAACACAACGCAGCCAACAGCCGGGUCAUGUGUCAAGUGUGUCUGUCUUGGAUUCACUCCUUUUAAAGUUUACUGCCCGUUUCACCCUAUAGCAGCGCGAAGGUAACGAAUACUCUUCAUUUAAGAGUCAGUUUGUUGCUGGUCGUGUUGUCUGUUUUAGUGUCAGAUUUUCUGUCGGCUGAUAUAUGUUUUUUCAACGUGAAACAUGAAGAAGCAGAGACUGGCAUAAAGGCUACUUUAUAUUUAGAAGCACGGUAACCGAAUGGGCAUGAAGAAUCUCCACAGAAACCUGCUUCAGGGUGUUUGUCUAUGGAGUCUGCUGGCUGUUCAGGUGAGCAGUUGUCCAGAUAGCUGCAGUCUGUGUUCAGGGCCAGAAAAUGACCAGUGUGAGGAAUGCAGAGCUGGAUGGACGCUCCAUAAUAAGAUCUGUGUAGACAUCGAUGAGUGUGGCACACAGCUGGGUAACUGUCCUCCAAACAGUUACUGCUUUAAUACAGAAGGAUCCUUUGAGUGCAGAGGCUGUGACGUGGCCUGUGUGGGCUGCAUGGGUAGCGGACCAGCACGCUGCAGGAAAUGUGCUUCUGGGUACAGACUGACAGGGUCCAAGUGUUUGGAUAUAGAUGAAUGCAGUGACCGUGUGCUUGCCUGCCAUGGUCUGGAUGAGAUUUGUACCAACACAGAAGGAUCUUUCCGUUGUGACUGCGCUGAAGGAUUCAUCCGCAUGGACAGUGUUUGUGUGAAGAAGCAGUUGCCUCAUUUUGAGGAGAAAGGUCUAUUUGAGGAUAUCCAAGAUGAUGAGGUGGAGGUACUGAAGCAGAUGUUUUUUGGGGUGGUCCUUUGUGCUCUGGCAACACUUGCAGCAAAGGGAGAUUUGGUCUACACAUCUGUGUUUAUGGGAGCAUUGGCAGCCAUGGCGGGUUACUGGCUUUCUGAUAGAGGAGACCGUUUGUUAGACAGCUUUGUAAAGGGACGUUAGAGUUGCAGACUUUUGCAAAGAGAACUUUACAGGAAGUGGACAAACCAAUGUGCUACUGCAUAGAGUGGCCUGGAGUUUUGCAUUAUUUUGUAUUGUGUGGAAUAUAAUAAGUACUUUUAAAAAUGUCUUGUUUGUUAAAGUAUAUAAACUAUUGCUUUAAGUUUAUGCUGCUUGUAAAUGUGUUUGAUUCAGGAGGGUGACAUUUAGUGUGCCUUAUCUUCUGCAAGAGUGCAGAUUUUCUCAGACUCGUGGGUUUAAAAUGGUUUUCCAUGAGUCAGUGGGUGAUAUCAUGGUCCUUAUGGAGUAUGGAAAAGAAAAUACAUUUGUGCAGUGAGAUUCACAAAAGGUUGAUUCAGUUAAGCAGCUAAAGAAUUGAAGUGCAUUUUGUGGUAUCUAACAUUGUCUUAUUUCUUAGAAUAAAAUUACAGAUGUCUUGAAUUCUACGUACACAUUGCAGUUUUAGUGAGUUUGAUUACGGAGAUUCAAGUGAAACCUGUUAAAUCUUUAAAAGUA